CCUGGCUCAGAUUGAACGCUGGCGGCAUGCUUUACACAUGCAAGUCGGACGGCAGCACAGAGAAGUUUGCUUCUUGGGUGGCGAGUGGCGAACGGGUGAGUAACAUAUCGGAACGUACCGAGCAGUGGGGGAUAACUAAUCGAAAGAUUAGCUAAUACCGCAUAUAUUCUGAGGAAGAAAGCAGGGGACCAUUUGGCCUUGCGCUGUUUGAGCGGCCGAUAUCUGAUUAGCUGGUUGGUGGGGUAAAGGCCUACCAAGGCGACGAUCAGUAGCGGGUCUGAGAGGAUGAUCCGCCACACUGGGACUGAGACACGGCCCAGACUCCUACGGGAGGCAGCAGAAGGG
rnacentral:rRNA from 1 species